AUUGAACGCUGGCGGCAUGCCUAACACAUGCAAGUCGAACGAGUGGCGGACUGGUGAGUAAUGUCUUGGAACCUGCCUGAUCUACGGGGAUAACGGCUGUAACCCUUAGCUAAUACCGCUUACCAUCCGUUCUGCCCACAUGGGAUGAUGUAGUUGAGGGGGUAACGGCUCACCAAGGCGACGAUCCCUAGCUGGUCUGAGAGGCUGACCAGCAACACUGGAACUGAGACACGGUCCAGACUCCUACGGGAGGCAGCAGUGGGGAAUAUUGGGCAAUGGGCGCAAGCCUGAUGCAGCAAUGCCGCGUGUAUGAAGAAGGCUUUCGGGUUGUAAAGUACUGUCAGCAGGGAGGCGUUACCCGAAGAAGAAGCAACGGCUAACUCCGUGCCAGCAGCCGCGGUAAUAC
rnacentral:rRNA from 1 species